UGUAAGCGUAUACCAAAGUUGUUGCAGUUAAAACGCUCGUAGUCGGACUUUGGCAGUUCCGGAUGUGUGCACGUCGUGUGCGCACUUCGCGGGGAUUGCUUUUGUGGUCUUGCGUAGGAUGAGGCACUUUUAUUAGUGAACGUCCUCACGCAACCACUUUUUACUGUGAGAAAAUCAGAGUGCUCAAAGCAGGCAUUUGCCGUGAAUGCAUUAGCAUGGAAUAAUAGAAUAGGACUUGGUUCUAUUUUGUUGGUUUGUUGGGACUGAGUAAUGAUUAAGAGGGACAGUUGGGGGCAUUUGUAUUUCGGUGCUAGAGGUGAAAUUCUUAGAUUACCGAAAGACAAACUGCUGCGAAAGCGUCUGCCAAGGAUGUUUUCAUUGA
rnacentral:rRNA from 1 species